CUAGACAAACGGGCCUCGAUCCCGUAAACAAUUAAUUAACAGCUAAACACUCUAUCCAGCGAGCUUUUGCCUA
rnacentral:tRNA from 2 species